UACAGGGGGGGCAAGCGUUGUUCGGAAUUACUGGGCGUAAAGGGUUCGUAGGUGGCCACUUAAGUCAGACGUGAAAUCCCCAGGCUCAACUUGGGAACUGCAUCCGAUACUGGAUGGCUUGAAUUCGGGAGAGGGAUGCAGAAUUCCAGGUGUAGCGGUGAAAUGCGUAGAUAUCUGGAGGAAUACCGGUGGCGAAGGCGGCAUCCUGGACCGACAUUGACGCUGAGGAGCGAAAGCCAGGGGAGCAAACGGG
rnacentral:rRNA from 1 species